CUUUUUCCAGGUGUUAAAUAACCCACCAUUUCAGUCCCAGCAAUACACAGUGCAGCUCUCUCCCUCUUCUUAUUUUUUUAAGAUGUGGUCAUUUAGAAAAGAAUCCAUGCAAUAUAAGCAAAACAUUUCCCCAUGCAGAUUUUGCACCAGGUUCAGGUUUUUCAGGUGUUGACAAGAACAGUAUUCUACAUUGAAAGUGAGUUCGGCUUUCAUAGAUUGACAUUCAUUAUUCAGCAGGGCAACCAGUGCUGUUCUGGGUCAACCUGGGUGAUUCUAACCCCGGUGAAGGAAGGCUGUGGCAGAGGGCACCAGAGAGGUGUGUGCUGCUCAUGAAGAGAGGCUCUGUCUCCCUCCCCUUCACAGUAGCUGCAUCCUACUGGGAAAUUCAUUAGCAGCUGACAUCAUCUCAGUCCGGCCAGAGAGUGAAAGAAUAUCAUUCUAUCCCAGUUCACUCCUCUUCUCUCUCUCGCUCCGUCUCCCGUUUGCACUCUGUCAGGAUUCCUCUGCCAGUAGCUCGCAUUGAGCGUUGUACACACACACACACACACACACCGUCUGUCCGGUGAAGCUGAGCGGAGGAAGCACGCUCCUUGUGUGUGAGGCAGAAAUAAGCGGGGGGUAGUAGCUGAAUGAAGUCAGGUUAGAAUCAGGAAGUGGGAGGACCUGGUCUCGCUGUGGGUGAAUGAGAGAGAGUUUGUGUGGAUAGAGGCAGCACUUGCGCGAGGAACAGGAGCCAGCGACAGGACACGAGCUUGAACCCAACGAAGAUUUCGAGGAAAGGAAGCGGAGGUCGGGGUUUUAGUGCGGCUUUACUCCACCCAUUCUACCUUUAGGAGGAAAACACCGUACGCUUUUUUGGAUUUUCUUGCUCUGCACGAGCGCACAGGAGAUGGUUUGUCACUGAGCGCGCGCCACUGACACAAAGCGCAUAGUCCGUGUCCGUUAAGCGACGGUUGGGAGGGUUUCAAACGGCCAAGUCGCGCGAAGAGGAGGACGAACUGAAGGAUUUCUCCACUUCUCUGCGCUCUUGGGGACCAGACACUUGGCUGCCUUUGUCCGAGAGCCUCUCUCGCGAUUAGCUCUGGAUGUUUUUCUGCUUUCUCUUCUUCUUUGGGAAAGGCUUCUUAUUUUGCAUGGCUGUCUGUCAAUCGCUCAAAAGGAGCGAGAGGAAUUCGCCGCCUGUUUAUGGAUUAUACAUUGUUUGACAAGCAGAAUGUGAAACGGCGCAUUUACUAAACCUCCUGAAAGUGAUUUCUUGACUUGUUAUUUUCGUCCGUGCCAACCUCGCCACGUCUAAAGGGCUCAGAUGCCAGCUCAGAGAAACUCUUCAGCACAGCUGCAGUUAAAGUGAGGAGUUGCGAUGCAGGCACCGUCUGUUCUUUGUGUGCAUGUAAACGUCCCGCCAUGCGUGUAGGAAGUUGGUUCGUGUGGAGUCUGCAGUAAGAAGGCGUGAGUCAAAGGAUCCGGGGAGUCAGUUGAGUUGCUUUUAAAACCUCAGUGUCUUUAGACAGCAGGAGCCCAUCAGCACAUCGCUAAUUUGCUCUUAAAGCCUUUGGAAUUUGAGCUCCCCCAUUUUACAAACCCCAGGCAGGCCAGCAUAAUGGAGCCCAGCCUUGUGAAUCCACAUUCUUCUGUAAUGGUGCGUUACCAGGAUG